GACGAACGCUGGCGGCGUGCCUAAUACAUGCAAGUAGAACGCACAGUUUAUACCGUAGCUUGCUACACCAUAAACUGUGAGUUGCGAACGGGUGAGUAACGCGUAGGUAACCUGCCUGGUAGCGGGGGAUAACUAUUGGAAACGAUAGCUAAUACCGCAUAAUAUUGAUUAUUGCAUGUUAAUUGAUUGAAAGCUGCUAUUGCAUCACUACCAGAUGGACCUGCGUUGUAUUAGCUAGUAGGUGAGGUAACGGCUCACCUAGGCGACGAUACAUAGCCGACCUGAGAGGGUGAGCGGCCACACUGGGACGGAGACACGGCCCAGACUCCUACGGGAGGCAGCAGUAGGGGAUCUUCGGCAAUAGACGAAAGUCUGACCGAACAACGCCGCGUGAGUGAAGAAGGUUUUCGGAUCGUAAAGCUCUGUUGUAAGAGAAGAACGGGUGUGAGAGUGGAAAGUUCACACUGUGACGGUAUCUUACCAGAAAGGGACGGCUAACUACGUG
rnacentral:rRNA from 1 species